GUAGGAAAGGUGAGCUAUGGAAGAG
rnacentral:piRNA from 1 species